rnacentral:rRNA from 1 species
UCCGAUGGGUGAACCUGCGGAGGGAUCAUUACAGAGUUAUUAUAAACUCCCAAACCCAUGUGAACAUACCUAUCGUUGCUUCGGCAGGUCGCGUCUACCCUGUAAGCUCCUACCCCGGAGCACCCUUACCCGGUAAACGCGGGGAAGCCUGCCGGUGGCCCCCGAAAAAAAAACUCUUGUUUAAUAUUGAAAAUCUGAAUCUAUAACUAAAUAAGUUAAAACUUUCAACAACGGAUCUCUUGGUUCUGGCAUCGAUGAAGAACGCAGCGAAAUGCGAUAAGUAAUGUGAAUUGCAGAAUUCAGUGAAUCAUCGAAUCUUUGAACGCACAUUGCGCCCAUUAGUAUUCUAGUGGGCAUGCCUGUUCGAGCGUCAUUUCAACCCUUAAGCCCCCGUUGCUUAGCGUUGGGAACCUACAGCGAUGUAGUUCCUUAAAGGUAGUGGCGGAGUCGGUUCAUACUCUAGGCGUAGUACAUCUUAUCUCGUCUCUGUAGUUGGAUCGUCCCUUGCCGUAAAACACCCCGAUUUCUAAAAGGUGACCUCGGAUCA